CCCAGUAAGGAAUAUUGGUCAAUGGACGAAAGUCUGAACCAGCCAUGCCGCGUGGAGGAUGAAGGUCCUCUGGAUUGUAAACUUCUUUUAUAUGGGACGAAAAAAGGGUUUUCUAACUCGUCUGACGGUACCAUAUGAAUAAGCACCGGCUAACUCCGUGCCAGCAGCCGCGGUAAUACGGAGGGUGCAAGCGUUAUCCGGAUUCACUGGGUUUAAAGGGUGCGUAGGUGGGCUGGUAAGUCAGAGGUGAAAUCUCCGGGCUCAACUCGGAAACUGCCUUUGAUACUAUUAGUCUUGAAUAUUGUGGAGGUCAGCGGAAUAUGUCAUGUAGCGGUGAAAUGCUUAGAUAUGACAUAGAACACCAAUUGCGAAGGCAGCUGGCUACGCAUAUAUUGACACUGAGGCACGAAAGCGUGGGGAUCAAACAGGAUUAGAUACCCUGGUAGUCCACGCCCUAAACUAUGGAUACUCGACAUACGCGAUACACUGUGUGUGUCUGAGCGAAAGCAUUAAGUAUCCCACCCGGGAAGUAC
rnacentral:rRNA from 1 species